rnacentral:snoRNA from 1 species
CUGCAGUGAUGAGCUUUGAGGUGACUGACCUGGUAUUGCUUCCUUCUGGGGAAUGCUCUGACCAGGGAAUGAUCUCAACUUAAUCUUCUCUCUGAGCAG